rnacentral:rRNA from 1 species
AUGAAUUUCUGGAGGUCUAAGUGCGACGACCCGCCCUCGGCCACCGAGGCGCGGAUGGACACGCCCAGCGCGUUUGCCCGCUCCCUCGCUUGCAAUCCUUCGCCGGAUACCAUCGCCUUCUCGAUGACCUCGCCGAUGACCUCCGACGGCACCACUGUGCUGCGCUGCUCCAAGGGCCGCACGAGGAGACCGGCCUUGAGGUACUUGCAGACAAACUCCGCGUCCCACGGCUGGUCCGAGUGCAUGGGCCAGGCCAGAAUCGGCUUGCCAUGGCUCAGGCUCUCCAUGGUCGAGUUCCAGCCGCAGUGGCUCAUGAACGCCGCCGUUGCGCCGUGCGCCAGGAUCUCCAGCUGCGGUGCCCAUCCGGUGAUCACGAGCCCCGUCCCCUCGGUUUGCCUGGUAAAUUUCGACAGCAACUUGGCGUGUUGGCCGUCAGUGCUUUCCUCGUGUACGUCGUUGACGCCGCGGUCGGCGUCUCGCAGCACCCAGAUGAACCGCUGCUUGCUGUCACGCAGCGCCGCGGCGAUCUCCGCGACUUGCUCGGCGAGCAGCGAGGACGUGGUGCCGAACGAUACGUACAACACCGACGCCGGCGGUUGUCUAUCGAGCCAGUCAAGGCACCCGUGCCGCGCCUCCCCCGGCGCCCUCGCGCUCGCGUCGAGGAGUGGGUUCAGUGGCCCGAUGGCGAAGAUCUUCUGGCCGCUGUACUCCGGGCUCUGGGCUUCCACGUCGAUGAACUCGCCCUCCAGCGCACGACACGUGUUGAUGACCAUGCCGCCGACCGCCGCUCCCUGCCCGUCAUGCCACGUCCUCGCGAUGUACUCCAUGAACUCCUUGGACAUGCACGCGUCGGCGGGGUGGAAGUCCAUGCCGUGGUCGCGCAGGAGCCGGUGCCCGGCGUCCUUGAACGCGACGUUGUACGACAUGGCCACGCACUGCAUGCAGAAGGCCUCGCCGUUGGGCAGGCGCCCAGCCUCGGCCGAGGCGAAGGAGCUCAGGCGGUCGUACACGACGACGACGCGGCGGUGGCGGGCGGAGAGGCUCCCGAGGAGCCUGGCGAGCGGGUCCCGCGCGUGGGCGACGAAGGCGUCGAGCAUGGGCAUCAGGUGGGACGGGAAGGACGUGGGGACGGCGGGGUCGGGCGGCGGGCGCUCGUACGCGGGGAGGUCGAGGUCGUGGAACCGGACGGGGAGGAGGGCGCGCGGAUCCCACCCGUGCACGCGCGCGCGGGCCUGGCGGACGUGCGGCGCCGGCGCCGCGUAG